UGUCAAGAUGGAUCUCCAUAACAGGUGAUGAAUAGUUUUAUUUGGGGGAUAUAUUAACUUUUACUAUUGAGGGAAAGUUUUAGAUUGGUUUGCCACUUUGUACCCUAUCAAGUUGAGGCUAAUAGAUAUACAUUCACAACCCUGUACCCAUCAGAUAAUCAACUUUAUGUGUGACUUUGGGACUGAUUCAUACAACCACAUUUCCUUUCUCCACUCUAUAGCAGCCUUUUCUCUGUAUUUGAAAAAAUAACCAAGAAGGAGAAGAUAAGGAACCAGGAAUAAGGUCUGGAUAAGUAUGGUGAGGACCUAAGCUUUACAAGUGAGGGGGCUAGGAAGAUGGCUUUGUGGUCCAGCAUAGGAAUGAUGGGUGCUUCAUAUUAUUGAAUACCUGUUCCACAAAGAAGACUUUGAGCUCUUUGCUCUCCUACUUUCAAGGCUCACCAGGUUCUGGGAGAUGGAGGGUCUGGUAUGCUUUCUAGUGACAACGUAUCAGCCAGCUGCUUCUCCUGCUCAGCCUGCUCCUCCUCUCCCAUGAUUUCCCAACUUUCCCCCUCAUCUGCCUCUGAACUGUGACCUUCCGCAAACCCCU
rnacentral:lncRNA from 1 species